rnacentral:tRNA from 1 species
GCGCCCUGUAACUUAACAGGACAAAGCGGCCCUCUGACGAAAGGCCGGAUGCGGGUUCGAAUCCCGCCAGGGGCG